UACGUAGGGGGCUAGCGUUGUCCGGAUUCAUUGGGCGUAAAGCGCGUGUAGGCGGCCAGAUAGGUCGGUUGUGAAAACUGGAGGCUCAACCUUCAGACGUCGACCGAAACCAUUUGGCUAGAGUACGGAAGAGGCGAGUGGAAUUCCUGGUGUAGCGGUGGAAUGCGCAGAUAUCAGGAGGAACACCAAUAGCGAAGGCAGCUCGCUGGGACGUUACUGACACUAAGGCGCGAAAGCGUGGGGAGCGAACAGG
rnacentral:rRNA from 1 species